AGCUCGUGUCGUGAGAUGUUGGGUUAAGUCCCGCAACGAGCGCAACCCUUUUCCUUAUUUGCCAGCGGGUUAAGCCGGGAACUUUAAGGAUACUGCCAGUGACAAACUGGAGGAAGGCGGGGACGACGUCAAGUCAUCAUGGCCCUUACGACCAGGGCUACACACGUGCUACAAUGGUCGGUACAAAGGGUUGCUACCUAGCGAUAGGAUGCUAAUCUCAAAAAGCCGAUCGUAGUCCGGAUUGGAGUCUGCAACUCGACUCCAUGAAGUCGGAAUCGCUAGUAAUCGCGGAUCAGAAUGCCGCGGUGAAUACGUUCCCGGGCCUUGUACACACCGCCCGUCACACCAUGGGAAUUUGUUGCACCAGAAGUAGGUAGUCUAACCGCAAGGAGGACGCUUACCACGGUGUGGCCGAUGACUGGGGUGAAGUCGUAACAAGGUAGCCGUAGGGGAACCUGCGGCUGGAUCACCUCCUUAA
rnacentral:rRNA from 1 species